GUAACGAUCGAAUAAUGGAAGUUCACGGGGAAAGUCACUAGACCCGAAGCAUUGGUUCAAAUCCAAUUCGUUACU
rnacentral:tRNA from 1 species